rnacentral:snRNA from 1 species
AAAUUGAAACGAUACAGAGAAGAUUAGCAUGGCCCCUGCACAAGGAUGACACGCUCAAAGCAGAAGGAUUCCCCAUUUU